GCAUUGCUGACGAGUCCAAAACAGAACGAGACAGCUGUCCGGUGC
rnacentral:hammerhead_ribozyme from 1 species